GCGAGAGGCGGCGCUGCGGGCGACGGCCGACAGGGCGAGCGCCGGCGCUGCGGCGGCGCGGCGAGCCGGCGACGCGAGGCAGCGCGCGGCGGCACGGCUGCGCAGGGCAGCGGCGCGGCGGGCCGGCGGCCAGGCAGGCAGGCAACACCGCGGCAGCAGGAGGCAAGGCAGGCGGCAGGCAGCACCGCAGCAGCCAGCAGGAAGAAGGCAAGCAAUUUGAAGAGUUACUGAAACCCGGGCACUAGUUGUGCAUCUUAAGCAGAAGAUCAUGGGCCACACCGCCACACCUAAUUUUUUUUCCGUCCUCCACCACUGAAUGCGGAUGGUGCAUUUUCAUCAAAUAAACAUAAGGGAGCAUCAGGGGUGGACAUGAGGAAUGCUUUGGGAAUUUUGUGGCUGCAACAACUAGUUUUUAUUCACAGGUAAGCAAAUGCCACAGACGGAAGUGUUGGCAUGUAGGCAAGCCACAGAACUGACUAUGGAGAAGGGGUGGAUAGAGUGAUAAUUAAAAUAGAUAAUUUGGAGGUGGUGGGGAUGCUAACACAGGUUGGAGUAAACUGUUCUAUGUAUGGGACAAUAAUCCAAAACCUCGAUAGCAGGUUAAAAUCGUUCCGGGAAAUGAAGGUCCAAUUGGUGUGACGAUCAGCAUAUAAAGCUGCUCACUUGAUAGGCAAGGAAGGAUGCGUGAUGGGCGAAACAUCGAAUUGGCUGUCAGUUCCAUUGGCCUACAUCAACCAUAUUUUAAAGGAAGAAUGUAAUUUUGAUAGCUAUAUUCGGUAGUUAUUUUUGUGAGGUCUUACCUAAAAAAGAAAACUUGGAAGUAAAAAGGUAUAGUUCUUUUAGUUAAAGGCUAAAAAAAUAAAUUCACAACAAAGUUUAAAUGUUCAACAGACUCUUGUUAAAAAUGUCAAAACACAGAGAAGGCCUCUGCAGCUGUUGCUGCUCCCACUCUGCAUCCCUGUUGUUUUGUUCGGUUCUGCAGCUGCUAACUUAUGUAGGAAAAAAAAUAUCAUGAGUUGUGUAUGUGACCUAGCUAAACCCUGAAAAUUAAAAAGUAUUU
rnacentral:lncRNA from 1 species